rnacentral:tRNA from 1 species
GUGUCCAGGGAUGGGAAUCGAACCCACAUUGUUCCGCUUACCGGGCAGAUGCCAUGUCCACUAGGCUAGUGA